rnacentral:lncRNA from 1 species
CGGAGGGCUACACCGGCGGAGGCUGCAUAGGUGGAGGAAGAAGUGUGAAGUUGUUGGAGGAAGAAAUGGAUGCAACAAUGUGAGUCAUCGGAGGAAGCAGUGGCGAACGCAACGAUGACACCAAUUUCUUUGGAGGCACCAAUGGAAGAACGCACAAAUGAAAUGGAGGCAACGCACAACCCUUAGCGCGUGAGAAAUGGAGGCACCGUUGACUCCUUGGAGGAAACACCGGAGGCAGCAACGGCGGC